rnacentral:lncRNA from 1 species
AGGGGCGGGGACGCAGCCGGAAGGCUGGAGGUUCCUGGAAGGCCUCUCCAAAUCCUUCCAACCCGAACAAUGGAAGGGAAGAAGGAAAGGAGGGGCUGAGGAAGGAAACAGACACUGACCAAAGCCCAGAGGUUGGAAACCAUGGCUCUUAAAAGCAGAGAUGAAGAGAAAAGAGUGAGUUCAAAAGACAGAGCAUGAGAAAGACCCCACCCGCUAUUACUGGCUUUGAAGAUGGAGAGAAGAGGCCACAAGCCAAGGAAUGCAGCAGCUUCCAGAAGCAUGAAAGAGCCCUUAGGUUACAGCCAGCAAGGGAAGGAAACUGCGACCCUACAGCCACAAGACUUGACUUCUGCCAACAGCCAGAAGGAGCAGGAAAUACGUUCUCCCUGAGAGCCUCCAGAAAGGAACACAGUCUGCCCACACCUUAAUUUUAGCCUGGGGAGGCCCAUACCAGGUCUCUGCUUUACAGAAUUGUAAGAUAAUAAAUUUGGAGUUUUUUUAAACUACUAAAUUUGUGGUCAUUUGUAAAGGCAGUAACAGAAAAACUAAAACACUUUACUAUCUAUACGUAGAUUUAACUGCUUUUUUUUUUUUUCUUUUUAAGAGAUGGUCUCACUCUGUUGCCCAAGUUGGAGUACAGAGGUGCAAUCAUAUCUCACUGCAGCCUUGAACUCCUGGGCUCAAGCCAUCCUCCCACCUCAGGCUCCUGGAUAACUGGGACUACAGGCACACCACCAUGCCUGGCUAAUUUUUUUUUUCUUUUUUUUUUUUAGAGAUGAGGUCUUGCUAUGUUGCCCAGCUGGUCUCAAAUUCCUAGCUUCAAAUGAUCCUCCCACCUUGGCCUCCCAAAGCUCUGGGAAUGAAGGCAUGAGCCACCAUGCCCAGUCUAGAUUUAACUUUUAAAUACAGUUCUAUUUUUAUAGGGGGGGAAAAUCCCAAAAUAGAAUAACAAGCAGGUUUUCUUUUACUCAGUUAACUAUUCCUAAGAGAAACCUUGAUAUUCUGGAUAUUUGAACCCUGAGACUAAUCCAGGCACCCUUUUCUCCUGGUAGCAGCUUGUGCAAUGAGGU